rnacentral:rRNA from 1 species
UACGUAGGGGGCUAGCGUUGUCCGGAAUCAUUGGGCGUAAAGAGCGCGUAGGCGGCCAGAUAAGUCCGGUGUGAAAGUCACAGGCUCAACCUGUGAAUGCCGCUGGAAACUGUCUGGCUAGAGUCCGGAAGGGGCGAGUGGAAUUCCUGGUGUAGCGGUGAAAUGCGCAGAUAUCAGGAGGAACACCAAUGGCGAAGGCAGCUCGCUGGAACGGUACUGACGCUGAGACGCGAAAGCGUGGGGAGCAAACAGG